AUAAGGUAAUUAUUAGCCAUAAUACAUUUUAUCUUGUCCGAUAAAAAUUUGGUAGGAGUUAGCUCCCUUUUCACCCUGUUAGAAUUACCCCCCUCCACCUUCACUGUCGGUGAUAACCUACCGCAGAAUAUAAACAAAUUGAAUACGCACGUGCGAAAAAAAUGUGCUUAAUCAAACUAGGAACCCCAGACAUAAAAAAUACUCACCCCACCCUAAUUACCCAAUGAAACUAACCAGUCUACCACAAUCAAACCUCUACCCAGCGAAUUUACCAGUGCAAGAACAAAAUUUAAUUGAAGUCAUCAGUGGUUGAAUAUGCUGUUGAAUAUAAUAAUUUUUCAGUUAUUAUAGGCGCAGAAAUGGCCGUGUGUGACCACCAGAUGAGCGAUUGAGGCAUCAAAGGCUUUCUCCAGGUCAACAAAUGCCAAGUACAGCAUACAUUAUACAAAUAUAAUGUAUAAAAAUCAUACUUUAUUUAUUUAGCAAAAAUGCAAGAAAGUAGAUUAUGGACAUUAUUUUUGUAAAAUAAACUUCUGGAUAAAGGACACUUACUUGAA